rnacentral:rRNA from 1 species
UACGAGGGGGGCGAGCGUUGUUCGGAAUUAUUGGGCGUAAAGGGUGCGUAGGCGGUUUGAUAAGUCUGAUGUGAAAUCUAUGGGCUCAACCCAUAGUCUGCAUUAGAAACUGUCGGGCUUGAGUAUGGGAGAGGUGAGUGGAAUUUCCGGUGUAGCGGUGAAAUGCGUAGAUAUCGUUUGGAACGCCAAUGGUGAAAACAGGUUGCUGGGGUUAUGCUGACGCUGAGACACGAAAGCCAGGGGAGCAAACGGG